rnacentral:rRNA from 1 species
UACGGAGGGGGCAAGCGUUGUCCGGACUUACUGGGCGUAAAGGGUGCGUAGGCGGCGCGGUAAGUCGGGUGUGAAAUCUCGGAGCUUAACUCCGAAACUGCAUUCGAUACUGCCGUGCUUGAGGACUGGAGAGGAGACUGGAAUUUACGGUGUAGCGGUGAAAUGCGUAGAUAUCGUAAGGAAGACCAGUGGCGAAGGCGGGUCUCUGGACAGUUCCUGACGCUGAGGCACGAAGGUCAGGGGAGCAAACGGG